AUUCUACUCCCUCCGUUGCACAAUACAUGCCUUCUAUUUGUCAAAAUAUAUAUGUAUCUACACAUGUUUUAGUAUAUAGGUACAUCCACUUUUGGACAAAUGGAAGUCAAGUAUUUUGGAACGGAGGGAGUACACA
rnacentral:pre_miRNA from 1 species